CCCUUAUUGAAAAUUACAUUUUAAUACUAAACACAAAUUAAAAUCAGGUCCUGCACAUUUAAAAUUGCAUGGCAGGUCCUUAUUUAAGUAAUUACAAUAUGACCCCCAACUGAUAAUUGCAAACAGGGGUUUAAAGAUUGGUUAUUUAUGGCAGAAGCCCCCGUCUACAUCUCUGCCAAAAAACGACAAAAACAAAAAUUUUUUUUCGCGGCUCCGGGCCGCUGCCUGAAAUGUAGCGGCAGCUGGUGGCCUCCCCCCAAAUUUUUUUUCCAGAGAAUUAUGGACCAACGGGGAGAUGGAAACGGGAGAAGAUUAAGAUAAAGUGUCUCAAGAACAUGAUCAUGAUUCAUCCAUCUUUUGUCUGUUUUGAAGAAUGAUGAUACAUAAAUUUGUCUUCUUGAGGAACCAGCAAGCUGUAAAAAUUUUCAGCCACAGAAUUUGUUGCAUUUUGAAGAAAAGAACAUGAUGUGACUCACUUUUCCUGGUGUUGAUCUUUUUCAUGUUGGAGAAGAUAAAUAUUUUCUUGUUCUUGUAAAGGUUUAUAUACAUACAAACACCAACAAUCAUUGGGCAAUCAAGAUCCAAUUGUGAUGUCAGUGUGUAAAAAGUCUAAAUUUUCAUUGCAGUUCUUUUCCACUUACUCUUAUGCAAAUUACAUAAAUCUAAAUUCUAGAUCAAAAUCCACACAGAGAACUGUCCGAGAAAGAGGAGAAGCACGGUACAUAAAAUAAUUCAAAAGAUUGGAAAGCAUUUAUUGUUCAGAUUCUAAAUAUAUGCACGGAUCACGAUGUUGGGCCAUGUUAAUAAUGAAUUCAUAUUAUAAAUAUAUGCACAUAUCACGGAUUUAGGGAAAAGAAUUUCAUUAAGGAUUUCGAUCUUAACAUCUAGGCUCUGAUACCGAUUUGUUAAAUUUAGUUUUAAUCAUGUUAAUAAUCGAUAAUCACAACUCUAAUAAAUUAAUAGAAACGAAUUCAUACAUGCGGAAGCCAUUGUUAAUAUUAAUAAUAGUUGUAAUAGCAGUCAAGAUCUUCACCUCUUUGCUUUUCACAAAAUAUUAGCUAUCAAUGGAGCAAGCCAAUAAAAACAUAUGGAGAGGAGAGUGGACCUAGCUUUUAUAUAGGAAAUAAUUUGAGCCAUCCUAUUACGAUUAGAAUUCUAAUUAGGGUUUAUUUUCGGCCCACAUACUUUAAAUUGUCACAUCAAAUUAAUUACAACCCGUAAAGUGUAAAAAGACUCAAUUGAUCACUUAAUAAAUUUGACCCAAACACAAUAUCAUUAUGAGCCAUACAUUUAACCCGUAAAAUUUACAAUCGAAUGUGAAGACCACAUAUGGAAUCAUUAAUUAUUCCAACAAGGUGCUACUUCUGAUUCGUCAUUCAUUUUCCUUUGGAAAAGUUUAUGGGUUUUCGUGGAUAGCUCCAGUUCAUAGCAAUUUGCGGUUUUUUGGUCGUUGUAGUAAUGAAAGUGGACCUCUCUUGGUAUAAAGAAUGAAAGGGAUGAGAAACAUAAACUGAAUCAAGGUUUCCACAAUUGAAGUCCCAAGAAGAAGAGAAAAAAAGGUUAAUGUUACUGGGAUUAAGAGUUUAAGGAAUAAAGAGAGUUGAAGCUGAGGC
rnacentral:lncRNA from 1 species